rnacentral:rRNA from 1 species
AGAGUUUGAUCCUGGCUCAGGGUUAACGCUGGCGGCGUGCCUAACACAUGCAAGUCGAACGGUUCUAAGCGCGAGCUUAGGAUAGUGGCGAACGGGUGAGUAAAAGGUAGGAAUCUACCCCUUGGACGGAGAUAGCUACUGGAAACGGUAGGUAAACUUCGAUAAGCCCGAGAGGGGAAAGUGGUGAGACAGCCGAGGGAUGAGCCUACUCUCCAUCAGGUAGUUGGUGAGAUAAAAGCUUACCAAGCCGAUGACGGAUAACCGGUGUGAGAGCAUGAACGGUCACAAGGGCACUGAGAGACGGGCCCUACUCCUACGGGAGGCAGCAGUGGGGAAUCUUGGACAAUGGGCGAAAGCCUGAUCCAGCGACGCCGCGUGGAGGAAGAAGUCCUUCGGGAUGUAAACUUCUGAACUAGCCGAAUAAAAGGCCUGUGGACACACAGGAGAAGAAAGUAGGCUAGGAAAAGUCCCGGCUAANUACGUGCCAGCCGCCGCGGUAAUAC